rnacentral:rRNA from 1 species
GACGAACGCUGGCGGCGUGCCUAAUACAUGCAAGUAGAACGCACAGUUUAUACCGUAGCUUGCUACACCAUAGACUGUGAGUUGCGAACGGGUGAGUAACGCGUAGGCAACCUGCCUGGUAGCGGGGGAUAACUAUUGGAAACGAUAGCUAAUACCGCAUAAUAUUGAUUAUUGCAUGAUAAUUGAUUGAAAGAUGCUAUUGCAUCACUACCAGAUGGACCUGCGUUGUAUUAGCUAGUAGGUGAGGUAACGGCUCACCUAGGCGACGAUACAUAGCCGACCUGAGAGGGUGAUCGGCCACACUGGGACUGAGACACGGCCCAGACUCCUACGGGAGGCAGCAGUAGGGAAUCUUCGGCAAUGGACGAAAGUCUGACCGAGCAACGCCGCGUGAGUGAAGAAGGUUUUCGGAUCGUAAAGCUCUGUUGUAAGAGAAGAACGGGUGUGAGAGUGGAAAGUUCACACUGUGACGGUAUCUUACCAGAAAGGGACGGCUAACUACGUG